rnacentral:rRNA from 1 species
UACGAAGGGUGCUAGCGUUGUUCGGAAUGACUGGGCGUAAAGGGCGCGUAGGCGGCGUUAUAAGUUUGAUGUGAAAGUCCUGGGCUUAACCUGGGGAUUGCAUUGAAGACUGUAGUGCUAGAGUCCGCGAGAGGAAAACGGAAUUGUGCGUGUAGAGGUGAAAUUCGUAGAGAUGCACAAGAACACCAGUGGCGAAGGCGGUUUUCUGGAGCGGUACUGACGCUAAGGCGCGAAAGCGUGGGGAGCAAACAGG